CACACCGCCCGUCGCUCCUACCGAUUGAAUGGUCCGGUGAAGUGUUCGGAUCGCGGCGACGCGAGCGGUUCGCCGCCUGUGACGUCACGAGAAGUCCACUGAACUUUAUCAUUUAGAGGAAGGAGAAGUCGUAACAAGGUUUCCGUAGGUGAACCUGCGGAAGGAUCAUUG
rnacentral:rRNA from 2 species